rnacentral:rRNA from 1 species
UACAGAGGAGCCAAGCGUUGUCCGGAUUGACUGGGCGUAAAGCGCACGCAGGCGGUUGCGCGCGUGGGGGGUGAAAUCUGGCCGCUUAACGGCCAGGCGCCAUCCCAUACGGCGCGACUGGAGUGAUGCAGAGGUCGAUGGAAUUGCCGGUGUAGUGGUGAAAUGCGUAGAGAUCGGCAGGAACACCGGUGGCGAAGGCGGCAUCCUGGACCAAUAUUGACGCUGAGGAGCGAAAGCCAGGGGAGCAAACGGG